rnacentral:rRNA from 1 species
AGAUUGAACGCUGGCGGCAGGCCUAACACAUGCAAGUCGAGCGGCAGCACGGGUACUUGUAUCUGGUGGCGAGCGGCGGACGGGUGAGUAAUGCCUAGGAAUCUGCCUAGUGGUGGGGGAUAACGUUCGGAAACGGACGCUAAUACCGCAUACGUCCUACGGGAGAAAGCGGGGGACCUUCGGGCCUCGCGCCAUUAGAUGAGCCUAGGUCGGAUUAGCUAGUUGGUGAGGUAAUGGCUCACCAAGGCGACGAUCCGUAACUGGUCUGAGAGGAUGAUCAGUCACACUGGAACUGAGACACGGUCCAGACUCCUACGGGAGGCAGCAGUGGGGAAUAGUUGGACAAU